ACGGCGAUGACGAUCGGAUCAUCGACGACGACUACAAAGAAGAAGAAGAAGAAGGAGAAAAGAAGGAGGAAAAGAAGGAUAUGGAGAAGAAGAGGAAGAAGAAGAAGUAGGAGAGGAAGAGGAAAAGGAAGAGGAAGAGGAAGAAGAGGAAGAGGAAGAGGAAGAAGAAGAAGGGCAAAAUUGUCAAUUCACAUUAUUAAUUAACCAUGGUUAAGUAUUUUAACUGUGGUUAACGAAAUUUCUCUAACGAACCCUAACGGCAGGGACAUAUCUGAAUACAUUAGGACUUUUGCAGGGAUAACUUAUGUAAGUUGAGCUUUGCAGGAAUAUAUCUGCAAUUCACCAUAUUUGCAAGGUUGUGUAUGCAAUUAA
rnacentral:lncRNA from 1 species